UCUUCAUAAUCUUUGUUCGGUUUGUGUUUAUGAUCUUUAGUUUGUUCGUUUCUACGAAGAUUCUUUCAGGUCUCGCUAGAAAAACGUUGGGUUGUUACGUUUUCUACUGUUGCUAUGGUGGUUGCUAUGGACGCUAUCAACAACGAACCGGAAGGAAGUGGACGUUCGGUUCGCGACUCUUUUUUCGGCUGCUCUGGUUCCGGAAUUAAAUUUUCCCAUUCAAAUCCUCCAUUGAUUUUUCACAAAAUCCUCAUAUCAAGAGAUUGGCGCCUGGGACCAAGACAACAAGCUACCCCAACACUUGUGACUAUAGUACAUUCAAUUCGGCACCAAAACGGUGUUAAAAACGGAAACAAAGGUAUAGGUUCAACUGUUUGCUAUGGACGCUAUCAACAACAAACCGGAAGGAAGUGGACGUUCGGUUCGUGGCUCUUAAAACGGGUUACAUCAGACCCUAGACAUCAAACUAAGCUCCUAUGCAAUAAAUAAUGAUUUCUGUUACAUUUUUA